rnacentral:snRNA from 1 species
CUUCUUACGCUUAGGACAAUAACGCAGCUAGUGAGAUACUAACCCAGUCGCGUUUAUUGUUGAUUGAAAACUAUUUCCAAACCCCUUUUUGACCUGUGCUUUGUUUAGGCUAUAGAGGAUUUUUGGAAGGGUUCUUUAA